rnacentral:rRNA from 1 species
CCCUUAGAUGGUCUGGGCGGCACGCGCGCUACAAUGAUGCAUUGAAAAAGUCUUCUGACCUUAGAAGGUUGGGUAUUCUCCAAAGUGCAUCGUGAUGGGAAUAGUUUAUUGCAAUUUUUAAUCUUGAACGAGGAAUUCCUAUUAAGUACAGGUCAUCAACUUGUGUUGAUUACGUCCCUGCCCUUUGUACACACCGCCCGUCGCUACUACCGAUUGAAUGGUUUAGUGAGAUCUUCGGAUUGGCGCCACUGCGGCUCAGCAAUGGGCUCGGUGGAUGCCGAAAAGUUGAUCAAACUUGAUCAUUUAGAGGAAGUAAAAGUCGUAACA